rnacentral:rRNA from 1 species
GCAAACGUUGUUCGGAAUCACUGGGCGUAAAGCGCACGUAGGCGGCUUGUUAAGUCAGGGGUGAAAUCCUGGAGCUCAACUCCAGAACUGCCUUUGAUACUGGCGAGCUUGAGUCCGGGAGAGGUGAGUGGAACUGCGAGUGUAGAGGUGAAAUUCGUAGAUAUUCGCAAGAACACCAGUGGCGAAGGCGGCUCACUGGCCCGGUACUGACGCUGAGGUGCGAAAGCGUGGGGAGCAAACAGG